UACGUAGGGUGCAAGCGUUGUCCGGAAUCAUUGGGCGUAAAGAGCUCGUAGGCGGCUUGUCACGUCGGGUGUGAAAGCCCGGGGCUUAACCCCGGGUCUGCAUUCGAUACGGGCUAGCUAGAGUGUGGUAGGGGAGAUCGGAAUUCCUGGUGUAGCGGUGAAAUGCGCAGAUAUCAGGAGGAACACCGGUGGCGAAGGCGGAUCUCUGGGCCUUACCUGACGCUGAGGCGCGAAAGCUAGGGGAGCGAACAGG
rnacentral:rRNA from 1 species